rnacentral:rRNA from 1 species
ACUCCUACGGGAGGCAGCAGUGGGGAAUAUUGCACAAUGGGCGCAAGCCUGAUGCAGCCAUGCCGCGUGUGUGAAGAAGGCCUUCGGGUUGUAAAGCACUUUCAGUCGUGAGGAAGGUAGUGUAGUUAAUAGCUGCAUUAUUUGACGUUAGCGACAGAAGAAGCACCGGCUAACUCCGUGCCAGCAGCCGCGGUAAUACGGGAGGGUGCGAGCGUUAAUCGGUAAUUACUGGGCGUAAAGCGCAUGCAGGUGGUUUGUUAAGUCAGAUGUGAAAGCCCGGGGCUCAACCUCGGAAUAGCAUUUGAAACUGGCAGACUAGAGUACUGUAGAGGGGGGUAGAAUUUCAGGUGUAGCGGUGAAAUGCGUAGAGAUC